AGUGAACGCUGGCGGUAGGCCUAACACAUGCAAGUCGAACGGCAGCACAGUAAGAGCUUGCUCUUACGGGUGGCGAGUGGCGGACGGGUGAGGAAUACAUCGGAAUCUACUUUUUCGUGGGGGAUAACGUAGGGAAACUUACGCUAAUACCGCAUACGACCUACGGGUGAAAGCAGGGGAUCUUCGGACCUUGCGCGAUUGAAUGAGCCGAUGUCGGAUUAGCUAGUUGGCGGGGUAAAGGCCCACCAAGGCGACGAUCCGUAGCUGGGCUGAGAGGAUGUUGCGGCAAACUGGAACUGAGACGCGGUCCAGACUACUACGGGAGGCAGCAGUGGGGAAUAUUGGACAAUGGGAGCAAGCCUGAUCCAGCCAUACCGCGUGGGUGAAGAAGGCCUUCGGGUUGUAAAGCCCUUUUGUUGGGGAAGAAAAGCAGCAGGUUAAUACCCCGCUGUUCUGACGGUACCCAAAGAAUAAGCACCGGCUAACUUCGUG
rnacentral:rRNA from 1 species